rnacentral:misc_RNA from 1 species
UCCCCGUUAUCCGAGGCAGUCUGUUGUGACAUUCUAACACAACAUAGGGGUUGCGCUCGUUACCCCACUUAAGGGUACACCUCACGGCACGAGCUGACGACAACCAUGCAGCACCUGUAUAGCACUCUCGAAGAAGUCCUACUUUCAUAGGAUUUGCAGCUAUAUGUCAAACCUUGGUGAGGUGCCACGCUUACCAUCGAAUUAAACCACAUGUUCCACCGCUUGUGCGGGUCCCCGUCUAUUCCUUUGAGUUUUAGUCUUGCGACCGUACUUCCCAGGCGGUGAACUUAACGCGUUAGCUUGUUUUGACGACUCUGGGAGGGUCGAUACUCCCAAAAUCCAGUUCACAUCGUUUAGGGCACGGACUA